rnacentral:lncRNA from 1 species
AUAUUAAUGAAAUUUUAUAUCUGAACUUUUCAAACAUAACAUUCACAUGUUCAUGGAUCUUAAUGCAGAUUGCCAGUUGGGUCAUGUUGCAACUAAAUCUCAAAUUUAAGAACCUAAAUAAAAAAAUUAGAAGUUUUAGAAUGUAGCUGCAAAUUACAAAAGAUUAAAGAGGUGCCACUACAAUUUUCAUAAACAAUUAAGACUGCAAAUGGGAUGGGUCGACCCGUGACCCGAUCCACUUAUAUCCGAUCCAAUCCGUUUUAAAAGACCCGCAGGUCAGGUC